UGGGGAAUUUUGGACAAUGGGCGAAAGCCUGAUCCAGCAAUGCCGCGUGUGUGAAGAAGGCCUUCGGGUUGUAAAGCACUUUUGUCCGGAAAGAAAUCCUUGGCUCUAAUACAGUCGGGGGAUGACGGUACCGGAAGAAUAAGCACCGGCUAACUACGUGCCAGCAGCCGCGGUAAUACGUAGGGUGCAAGCGUUAAUCGGAAUUACUGGGCGUAAAGCGUGCGCAGGCGGUUUGCUAAGACCGAUGUGAAAUCCCCGGGCUCAACCUGGGAACUGCAUUGGUGACUGGCAGGCUAGAGUAUGGCAGAGGGGGGUAGAAUUCCACGUGUAGCAGUGAAAUGCGUAGAGAUGUGGAGGAAUACCGAUGGCGAAGCAGCCCCCUGGGCCAAUACUGACGCUCAUGCACGAAAGCGUGGGGAGCAAACAGGAUUAGAUACCCUGGUAGUCCACGCCCUAAACGAUGUCAACUAGUUGUUGGGGAUUCAUUUCCUUAGUAACGUAGCUAACGCGUGAAGUUGACCGCCUGGGGAGUACGGUCGCAAGAUU
rnacentral:rRNA from 1 species